rnacentral:rRNA from 1 species
AGUGAACGCUGGCGGUAGGCCUAACACAUGCAAGUCGAACGGCAGCACAGUAAGAGCUUGCUCUUACGGGUGGCGAGUGGCGGACGGGUGAGGAAUACAUCGGAAUCUACUUUUUCGUGGGGGAUAACGUAGGGAAACUUACGCUAAUACCGCAUACGACCUACGGUUGAAAGCAUGGGAUCUUCGGACCUUGCGCGAUUGGAUGAGCCGAUGUCGGAUUAGCUAGUUGGCGGGGUAAAGGCCCACCAAGGCGACGAUCCGUAGCUGGUCUGAGAGGAUGAUCAGCCACACUGGAACUGAGACACGGUCCAGACUCCUACGGGAGGCAGCAGUGGGGAAUAUUGGACAAUGGGCGCAAGCCUGAUCCAGCCAUACCGCGUGGGUGAAGAAGGCCUUCGGGUUGUAAAGCCCUUUUGUUGGGAAAGAAAAGCAGCAGGUUAAUACCCCGCUGUUCUGACGGUACCCAAAGAAUAAGCACCGGCUAACUUCGUG